CAGUGUCACAGCUCUUUUAUAAUUUUGUCUAGCAGGUUUUCUGGUUCUUCACGAGAACCCCU
rnacentral:snRNA from 1 species